UUGACAGACAGCAGCUGGACAGCAGACCUCAGAUCAGCUGUUACCAUGGUUACCUCCGACCUCCAGCUCAAUGUCCUGCAGGAUUGAAGUAUUCCUGGACCACGAUGCAGGUUGGUGCACUCUCGGAUGUGUUUGGAGAGCUAGUUUCAGAAGGAGAGGGCAGCUGUGGAGAAUGUUCGGUCACCCCAGGUCCGGUUCUUGGUUCUGAGUGGUGGAGACUGGAGGUUGGCAUCAGAGGAACGGAGGCUGCAGGAAAGAGUGUGGUGAUGGAGCAGGUCAAUGAGAGAAAGAGAAGAUAAAAAGGAACUACAAGAUGGAAGCGAAAUGAGAAGUAAGAAGAUCUGAUGAGCAGAAACAAGAAACGGCAUCAAGACAUCCUGAGCAGAAGACUGAGUAACUGGACUACUUACUUCUUUCAGGGCUUUCAGCAGCU